AACGCUAGCGACAGGCUUAACACAUGCAAGUCGAGGGGCAGCGGGGGUAGCGAUACCCGCCGGCGACCGGCGCACGGGUGAGUAACGCGUAUGCAACUUGCCUAUCAGAGGGGGAUAACCCGGCGAAAGUCGGACUAAUACCGCAUGAAGCAGGGGCCCCGCAUGGGGAUAUUUGCUAAAGAUUCAUCGCUGAUAGAUAGGCAUGCGUUCCAUUAGGCAGUUGGCGGGGUAACGGCCCACCAAACCGACGAUGGAUAGGGGUUCUGAGAGGAAGGUCCCCCACAUUGGUACUGAGACACGGACCAAACUCCUACGGGAGGCAGCAGUGAGGAAUAUUGGUCAAUGGCCGAGAGGCUGAACCAGCCAAGUCGCGUGAGGGAUGAAGGUUCUAUGGAUCGUAAACCUCUUUUAUAAGGGAAUAAAGUGCGGGACGUGUCCCGUUUUGUAUGUACCUUAUGAAUAAGGAUCGGCUAACUCCGUGCCAGCAGCCGCGGUAAUACGGAGGAUCCGAGCGUUAUCCGGAUUUAUUGGGUUUAAAGGGUGCGUAGGCGGCCUUUUAAGUCAGCGGUGAAAGUCUGUGGCUCAACCAUAGAAUUGCCGUUGAAACUGGGGGGCUUGAGUAUGUUUGAGGCAGGCGGAAUGCGUGGUGUAGCGGUGAAAUGCAUAGAUAUCACGCAGAACCCCGAUUGCGAAGGCAGCCUGCCAAGCCAUUACUGACGCUGAUGCACGAAAGCGUGGGGAUCAAACAGGAUUAGAUACCCUGGUAGUCCGCGCAGUAAACGAUGAUCACUAGCUGUUUGCGAUACACUGUAAGCGGCACAGCGAAAGCGUUAAGUGAUCCACCUGGGGAGUACGCCCGCAACGGUGAAACUCAAAGGAAUUGACCGGGGGCCCGACCAGCCGGAGGAACAUGUGGUUUAAUUCGAUGAUAGCCAAGGAACCUUUCCCGGGGUUUGAACGCAUUCGGACCGAGGUGGAAACCCCUUUUCUAGCAAUAGCGGUUUGCGAGGUGCUGCAUGGUUGUCGUCAGCUCGUGCCGUGAGGUGUCGGCUUAAGUGCCAUAACGAGCGCAACCCUUGCCACUAGUUACUAACAGGUAAAGCUGAGGACUCUGGUGGGACUGCCAGCGUAAGCUGCGAGGAAGGCGGGGAUGACGUCAAAUCAGCACGGCCCUUACAUCCGGGGCGACACACGUGUUACAAUGGCGUGGACAAAGGGAGGCCACCUGGCGACAGGGAGCGAAUCCCCAAACCACGUCUCAGUUCGGAUCGGAGUCUGCAACCCGACUCCGUGAAGCUGGAUUCGCUAGUAAUCGCGCAUCAGCCAUGGCGCGGUGAAUACGUUCCCGGGCCUUGUACACACCGCCCGUCCACCCAUGGGAGCCGGGGGUUC
rnacentral:rRNA from 1 species